AGUCGAACGGCAGCGCGGGGCAACCUGGCGGCGAGUGGCGAACGGGUGAGUAAUAUAUCGGAACGUACCCUGGAGUGGGGGAUAACGUAGCGAAAGUUACGCUAAUACCGCAUACGAUCUAAGGAUGAAAGUGGGGGAUCGCAAGACCUCAUGCUCCUGGAGCGGCCGAUAUCUGAUUAGCUAGUUGGUAGGGUAAAAGCCUACCAAGGCUUCGAUCAGUAGCUGGUCUGAGAGGACGACCAGCCACACUGGAACUGAGACACGGUCCAGACUCCUACGGGAGGCAGCAGUGGGGAAUUUUGGACAAUGGGCGCAAGCCUGAUCCAGCAAUGCCGCGUGAGUGAAGAAGGCCUUCGGGUUGUAAAGCUCUUUUGUCAGGGAAGAAACGGUGAGGGCUAAUAUCCCUUGCUAAUGACGGUACCUGAAGAAUAAGCACCGGCUAACUACGUGCCAGCAGCCGCGGUAAUACGUAGGGUGCAAGCGUUAAUCGGAAUUACUGGGCGUAAAGCGUGCGCAGGCGGUUUUGUAAGUUUGUCGUGAAAGCCCCGGGCUCAACCUGGGAAUUGCGAUGAAGACUGCAAGGCUUGAAUCUGGCAGAGGGGGGUAGAAUUCCACGUGUAGCAGUGAAAUGCGUAGAGAUGUGGAGGAACACCGAUGGCGAAGGCAGCCCCCUGGGUCAAGAUUGACGCUCAUGCACGAAAGCGUGGGGAGCAAACAGGAUUAGAUACCCUGGUAGUCCACGCCCUAAACGAUGUCUACUAGUUGUCGGGUUUUAAUUAACUUGGUAACGCAGCUAACGCGUGAAGUAGACCGCCUGGGGAGUACGGUCGCAAGAUUAAAACUCAAAGGAAUUGAC
rnacentral:rRNA from 1 species